CUGUGAGCUCGAUGAGUAGGGCGGGACACGUGGUAUCCUGUCUGAAUAUGGGGGGACCAUCCUCCAAGGCUAAAUACUCCUGACUGACCGAUAGUGAACCAGUACCGUGAGGGAAAGGCGAAAAGAACCCCGGCGAGGGGAGUGAAAAAGAACCUGAAACCGUGUACGUACAAGCAGUGGGAGCACGCUUAGGCGUGUGACUGCGUACCUUUUGUAUAAUGGGUCAGCGACUUAUAUUCUGUAGCAAGGUUAACCGAAUAGGGGAGCCGAAGGGAAACCGAGUCUUAACUGGGCGUUAAGUUGCAGGGUAUAGACCCGAAACCCGGUGAUCUAGCCAUGGGCAGGUUGAAGGUUGGGUAACACUAACUGGAGGACCGAACCGACUAAUGUUGAAAAAUUAGCGGAUGACUUGUGGCUGGGGGUGAAAGGCCAAUCAAACCGGGAGAUAGCUGGUUCUCCCCGAAAGCUAUUUAGGUAGCGCCUCGUGAAUUCAUCUCCGGGGGUAGAGCACUGUUUCGGCAAGGGGGUCAUCCCGACUUACCAACCCGAUGCAAACUGCGAAUACCGGAGAAUGUUAUCACGGGAGACACACGGCGGGUGCUAACGUCCGUCGUGAAGAGGGAAACAACCCAGACCGCCAGCUAAGGUCCCAAAGUCAUGGUUAAGUGGGAAACGAUGUGGGAAGGCCCAGACAGCCAGGAUGUUGGCUUAGAAGCAGCCAUCAUUUAAAGAAAGCGUAAUAGCUCACUGGUCGAGUCGGCCUGCGCGGAAGAUGUAACGGGGCUAAACCAUGCACCGAAGCUGCGGCAGCGACGCUUAUGCGUUGUUGGGUAGGGGAGCGUUCUGUAAGCCUGUGAAGGUGUACUGUGAGGUAUGCUGGAGGUAUCAGAAGUGCGAAUGCUGACAUAAGUAACGAUAAAGCGGGUGAAAAGCCCGCUCGCCGGAAGACCAAGGGUUCCUGUCCAACGUUAAUCGGGGCAGGGUGAGUCGACCCCUAAGGCGAGGCCGAAAGGCGUAGUCGAUGGGAAACAGGUUAAUAUUCCUGUACUUGGUGUUACUGCGAAGGGGGGACGGAGAAGGCUAUGUUGGCCGGGCGACGGUUGUCCCGGUUUAAGCGUGUAGGCUGGUUUUCCAGGCAAAUCCGGAAAAUCAAGGCUGAGGCGUGAUGACGAGGCACUACGGUGCUAAAGCAACAAAUGCCCUGCUUCCAGGAAAAGCCUCUAAGCAUCAGGUAACAUCAAAUCGUACCCCAAACCGACACAGGUGGUCAGGUAGAGAAUACCAAGGCGCUUGAGAGAACUCGGGUGAAGGAACUAGGCAAAAUGGUGCCGUAACUUCGGGAGAAGGCACGCUGAUACGUAGGUGAAGUCCCUCGCGGAUGGAGCUGAAAUCAGUCGAAGAUACCAGCUGGCUGCAACUGUUUAUUAAAAACACAGCACUGUGCAAACACGAAAGUGGACGUAUA
rnacentral:rRNA from 1 species